AACGAACGCUGGCGGCAGGCUUAACACAUGCAAGUCGAACGCACCUUUCGGGGUGAGUGGCAGACGGGUGAGUAACGCGUGGGAAUCUACCCUUCUCUACGGGAUAGCUCCGGGAAACUGGAAUUAAUACCGUAUACGUCCUGAGGGAGUAAGAUUUAUCGGGGAAGGAUGAGCCCGCGUUGGAUUAGCUAGUUGGUGGGGUAAAGGCCUACCAAGGCGACGAUCCAUAGCUGGUCUAAGAGGAUGAUCAGCCACAUUGGGACUGAGACACGGCCCAAACUCCUACGGGAGGCAGCAGUGGGGAAUAUUGGACAAUGGGCGCAAGCCUGAUCCAGCCAUGCCGCGUGAGUGAUGAAGGCCCUAGGGUUGUAAAGCUCUUUCAGUGGGGACGAUAAUGACGGUACCCACAGAAGAAGCCCCGGCUAACUUCGUG
rnacentral:rRNA from 1 species